UCUAAUCUUAUAUCUUAUAUAUUAAUAUACAGAAAAUAGGCCUUUUUGGACCGUGGCCACCCUCUUUUACGUAUAUACCCUCGCUGAUUUCUACAUCAAAACCGUGCAGCAAAUGUUACAAUCGUAACUUAACUUAAAAAUAGGAAACCAGUUUCGUUUUCUCUUUCGUCCUCGGUCCCAACUCUUCUUUUACGUCUGAAACACCUCCAGCAUCUCCGCCAUAGUUUCUAAAACACUUCCACCAUGAAAGAAGAACAACAGAUGCGACAAGUAUGAGACCUAACAAUAGAUUUCAACCCAGCAACCAUUGCAAUUGCUUUCUGUUCCUUAUGCUACGGAACAAGUGAGGCCUUAACAUCACAUUCCAACUCAGUUAUAUAUCUUUGCAGUAAUGGAAGGCGUAAAAGUCUUGGUUCCCUGUCGUAUCCUUAAAGUCAUAGAGCACACUCGAAUUCAACAGUUGAUAGAAACGUCGACUGAACACAACACAGUACCAGAACUCCGUAGAAGUCCUAAAUUGCUGAGCAAUCUCGAAUUCGAGAAAAAGAUGGAUAUGAUAAAUGAAAGGAAAAGGCAACGUUGCCAUCAUUUGGACCCCCAUCAAAGAGCUUAUGAGCUACAGCAGCGCCGAAUUCUUGAGAGAGCCAAACAAAACUCAAUGACAAUACACGAAAGGGAAGCUUUCCUUGAAAAACGACGUAAUCAAUACCGAAUUCAGUCAUCACAACAACGACUCCAGAAUAAAAAUGGGUAACAAGCUGGAACGAGUAAUGGUAAGCAAGAAUAUGUUUACUGUUGAUAUUGUUUUAUUUAUUGUCAUCUUUUUCAAGCAACCGGUGAUGGUGAUUAUGUACGCUACGAAGACAAUUUACGUCUUUGAAUGAAAAGUGCAAUUCCUUUUUGGUACAAAUUAUAGUUUUCGGUUUAGGGUACUAACUGUCAUCUGGUAAGUUUACGUCUGUGAAGACAAUUCGUCUAACUGUUAUCUGGUAAGUUUGGUCAUUUGUGUACAUUUAAUCAGCUCGAGAAUUGAUUUCUAGCUCUGUAUUGUUUUCUUACUCUUAAGGGAAGGAUUACAAAAGAAGGUGGUUUAUGUCAUCUAAAAAGACUUUACUGGAUGAUACGCACUACUUAGCAGGAGCGAUAUUCUGUGUACUACGCCAUUAUCAACAAUAGUGCAAAUGUGAAUAUAGGAGUUUGAUCUUUUUCACUUUUGGGUUAGUGGAAUGCAUAGGGAUGCUCUCAUAGCUGUCUUUUGUGGUCAUUUUGCCACAACUUGGACAUAAUUUGCUGGUGGCUAAAAAUUGUAAUGAUUUUCUCAUAGUAUGAGCUUUAGUUGCAUGGUAAAUUUUUAGUUCAUGUUGUCGAGAUCCUUAUUUUGUACUUUAGAGAUAAGCUGAGUUGUGAGACUGUAUUUAGUAUAGCUGUCUUUUAUAUUCCUUGAGGCCAAUGAAAAUAUGUUUUGCCUGGGGGCCAUUUGAUGUUUAAAAUGUGUCCAGCUUUCCGUUGCCUGGGGGCCAUUUGAUGUUCCAAAUGUGUCCAUCUUUCCAACGGAGAUUCAAUAUUAGCUGUAUAAGAUUUGUGCAUUAAGUAUAGUUGUUCGUAUUGGGUUUAUGUACUUAUUUCAGAAUUCAUUAGUUUGAGGCAAUUGGGGUUCUCACAAACAUUGAAUCCAGAACAUAUCCAUAUGGUGGAGAGAAGGUUGGAUUCAAUAGUUCUUCUGAGGAAUUGGGUUUGAGUGACUAGCACUUCCUACACUGUUUUAACUCAGAAGAUUCAUGAUGGCCCAUUGGGAUUCACACAUGUUCCUGCCGCUGACAUCGAUUAUAAUGUAUAGUUAGAUGAUGGCAUGGGUUUUGAAUGAGUUUUUGGAAUUUCAUGGUUACUCUCUGAUGAUCGUUACAGAAAGGCUAUGAUCCUGGUGGAUCACUAGGUAGAUAGGCUGCAAUGCGGACUACUCUUCAGUAGGUUUCCAAAAGCUAUAACGAGGAACCCAAACAUACAUGUGUAAGUCGUUGACGAGGAAGGUUGCUUUCAGUUUGGGCUUCUAUACAAGUAUCGUAGUUAGUGUUAAACUCUUCAUCCUGCAACGCACUACACUUUAGGGCGGAUGAAAUCGAUGUAUUGAUUGAAUAACCAGCUAAUCUUGGGUCAUUUGUUGGCCGAGUCUUUUAAUAUUUUUUACAUUUUAACUUAAUUGUAAUCUUUAGACGAGAUUUUCCUGUAAAAUAAAUACUAGAGCUUGAGUUGGCUAAUCAUUUUCUACAUGUCUUCAAUAAUUCAAAAUUUUAAG